ACGCGAGCUGGGUUCAGAACGUCGUGAGACCGUUCGGUCCCUAUCCGUCGCAGGCGUAGGAAAUUUGAGAAGACCUGUCCUUAGUACGAGAGGACCGGGAUGGACGUACCUCUGGUGUACCAGUUGUCCUGCCAAGGGCAUGGCUGGGUAGCUAUGUACGGAAUGGAUAAGCGCUGAAAGCAUCUAAGCGCGAAGCCAACUUCAAGAUAAGAUUUCCCACCGCAAGGGUAAGACCCCAGAAAGACUAUCUGGUUG
rnacentral:rRNA from 1 species